UACGUAGGCAGCAAGCGUUGUUCGGAGUUACUGGGCGUAAAGAGUAUGUAGGCGGGUGCGUAAGGUCGGUGUGAAAUCUCCCGGCUUAACUGGGAGGGUGCGCCGAAAACUGCGUGGCUUGAGUGCGGGAGAGGAGAGCGGAAUUCCUGGUGUAGCGGUGAAAUGCGUAGAUAUCUGGAGGAACACCGGUGGCGAAGGCGGCAUCCUGGACCGGUAUUGACGCUGAGGCGCGAAAGCCAGGGGAGCAAACGGG
rnacentral:rRNA from 1 species